GAGAGAUGAUGACGAGGCUCUACGGAGCUGAAGUAACCGAUACCACACUUCCAGGAAAAGCCACUAAGCUUCAGGUUUAUCUAAACCGUACUGAAAACCGACACAGGUGGUCAGGUAGAGAAUACUCAGGCGCUUGAGAGAACUCGGGUGAAGGAACUAGGCAAAAUAGCACCGUAACUUCGGGAGAAGGUGCGCCGGCGUAGAUUGUAGUCCCUUGCGGGCGAAGGUUGAACCGGUCGAAGAUACCAGCUGGCUGCAACUGUUUAUUAAAAACACAGCACUCUGCAAACACGAAAGUGGACGUAUAGGGUGUGAUGCCUGCCCGGUGCUGGAAGGUUAAUUGAUGGUGUAAUCGAAAGAGAAGCUCCUGAUCGAAGCCCCAGUAAACGGCGGCCGUAACUAUAACGGUCCUAAGGUAGCGAAAUUCCUUGUCGGGUAAGUUCCGACCUGCACGAAUGGCAUAAUGAUGGCCAGGCUGUCUCCACCCGAGACUCAGUGAAAUUGAAAUCGCCGUGAAGAUGCGGUGUACCCGCGGCUAGACGGAAAGACCCCGUGAACCUUUACUAUAGCUUGACACUGAACAUUGAAUUUUGAUGUGUAGGAUAGGUGGGAGACUUAGAAGUAGUCACGCCAGUGAUUAUGGAGUCGUCCUUGAAAUACCACCCUUUAACGUUUGAUGUUCUAACGAAGAUUACGAAACGUGGUCUCGGACAGUGUCUGGUGGGUAGUUUGACUGGGGCGGUCUCCUCCCAAAGAGUAACGGAGGAGCACGAAGGUUUGCUAAUGACGGUCGGACAUCGUCAGGUUAGUGCAAUGGUAUAAGCAAGCUUAACUGCGAGACAGACAAGUCGAGCAGGUACGAAAGUAGGUCAUAGUGAUCCGGUGGUUCUGAAUGGAAGGGCCAUCGCUCAACGGAUAAAAGGUACUCCGGGGAUAACAGGCUGAUACCGCCCAAGAGUUCAUAUCGACGGCGGUGUUUGGCACCUCGAUGUCGGCUCAUCACAUCCUGGGGCUGAAGUAGGUCCCAAGGGUAUGGCUGUUCGCCAUUUAAAGUGGUACGCGAGCUGGGUUUAGAACGUCGUGAGACAGUUCGGUCCCUAUCUGCCGUGGGCGUUGGAGAAUUGAUUGGGGCUGCUCCUAGUACGAGAGGACCGGAGUGGACGCACCACUGGUGUUCCGGUUGUGUCGCCAGACGCAUUGCCGGGUAGCUAAGUGCGGAAGAGAUAAGUGCUGAAAGCAUCUAAGCACGAAACUUGCC
rnacentral:rRNA from 1 species